GCCCCGGUAGCUCAGCUGGACAGAGCACCUCAUUCCUAACGAGGUGGUCGGAGGUUCGAAUCCUCUUCGGGGUA
rnacentral:tRNA from 1 species